UACGUAGGUGGCAAGCGUUGUCCGGAUUUACUGGGCGUAAAGGGCGCGUAGGCGGUUGUGUGAGUGUGAUGUGAAAGCCCCGGGCUUAACCUGGGAAGUGCAUCGCAAACGACAUAACUGGAGUAUAUGAGAGGGUGGCGGAAUUUCCGGUGUAGCGGUGAAAUGCGUAGAGAUCGGAAGGAACGUCAAUGGCGAAGGCAGCCACCUGGCAUAAUACUGACGCUGAGGCGCGAGAGCGUGGGGAUCGAACAGG
rnacentral:rRNA from 1 species